CAAAUAUAUAACGGCCCUCAUUCACUGCAGAGCACGCAUAGAAUCCUCCUUCUGAAGCAAGUCUUUGCAGCACCGAAAACCGACAUGCGGACUUUGACUGGCAGUUGUUCCACAUCAUUUGCUCGGGUACGAGUGAGAAUGAUGUAUUGCUGACUCCUUGCGAAGCAUUAGUGUGAUUUUACAGCAGAAACUAUCAGCACUCUGAUCGUGAUGCUAUCUGGACGCAGUCCAGGAAAUGGAGGAUGAAGAGGAAUCUAGUUGGCUAUGGUUGACAGGGACGGUGCUUAUUACCACGUCACAGCUGACA